rnacentral:rRNA from 1 species
UACAGAGGUCUCAAGCGUUGUUCGGAUUCAUUGGGCGUAAAGGGUGCGUAGGUGGCGGGGUAAGUCAGGUGUGAAAUCUCGAGGCUCAACCUCGAAACUGCACUUGAUACUGCCUUGCUCGAGUACUGGAGAGGAGAUUGGAAUUUACGGUGUAGCAGUGAAAUGCGUAGAUAUCGGGAGGAACACCUGUGGCGAAAGCGGCUCACUGGACCACAACUGACGCUGAGGCGCGAAAGCUAGGGGAGCAAACAGG